CAGCACUAGCUCUUUUAGAAUUUGUCCGGCAGGUCUUCAAGUCUUCCCUGAACUGCCCCC
ensembl:snRNA U7 U7 small nuclear RNA